rnacentral:rRNA from 1 species
AGCGAACGCUGGCGGCAGGCUUAACACAUGCAAGUCGAGCGGGCAUCCUUGUGGUGUCAGCGGCAGACGGGUGAGUAACGCGUGGGAACGUGCCCUUCGGUUCGGAAUAACUCAGGGAAACUUGAGCUAAUACCGGAUACGUGCGAGAGCAGAAAGGUUUAUCUGCCGAAGGAUCGGCCCGCGUCUGAUUAGCGAGUUGGUGAGGUUAUGGCUCACCAAGGCGACGAUCAGUAGCUGGUCUGAGAGGAUGAUCAGCCACACUGGGACUGAGACACGGCCCAGACUCCUACGGGAGGCAGCAGUGGGGAAUAUUGGACAAUGGGGGCAACCCUGAUCCAGCCAUGCCGCGUGAGUGAUGACGGCCUUAGGGUUGUAAAGCUCUUUUCUCCGGGACGAUAAUGACGGUACCGGAGGAAUAAGCCCCGGCUAACUUCGUG